UUUAAGCAUAUCACUCAGUGGAGGAAUCCCAAGCAACAGCAAUUGCUUCAGUAAUGGCGAAUGAAGUGGCAACAACCAUGCAAGACAUGGCUCAUCCCGAAGAGAUUCCUGCUACCUGCUCAACACACUGGUGUGGUGCCCCUCUCUCACCAGAGGGUAUCAUAUCAGCUGGCGGUUGACAGUCGGCUACUGUGGGAUUCAGCAGAUGCUGUGGGUUGAUGGAAUGGUCACCGGUGCAAGCAGCUUCAUCUGUGGUGCAUGGAAGUGCCCUGGAAUGGCACACGCCAAAAGGAUACUGUCCUGUACAACUCUCCUUGCGCCUGGGUGGACUGCUGUGCUGGCUGGCUGUAUCCAGGAGUAGAACGGCUUGAGACUGCAGUUUGAAGUGGGAGGUGUAUCCCUCCCAAGGAGCAAUACCAGCAUGGGACCGAUAGUGCACAAGUAGAGUGAUUGAAGGAUGCAAAGGACUUUGCAAAGAGGGUUAAAAGUCCCUGAAGCCUUGGCAGGAUCAGCGGUGAGUGGUGCUAUCUGGCAGAUUGUAUCCAUCCCAAGCAACCCUGAGUCAGCCCUGGAUUGGCCAAUGAGCCGGCUCUCUGCCUGUGCAGGGAGCUGAUGCCCAAUCUUGGCAAUCCUAGGUGGCAGUUCAGCCUGCCUGGACUUGGGGCUUCCCAAGGUGCAUGGGAAAGUGUGUGCUGUGCCACGCUGGAUGAUGGACUGGGCUAUGCCCACACCUGGGUGUGAACUGGCUGUGUGAGACGCAUGUUCCCAUCUGCUGUAUGGCUGGAGCACAGAUCCACAACAGUGCCACCGUCUGUCUGAGUGGUGCACACAAUCGGUUGAGACAAAACCUGGUGGGUCCCCGGGCCUGCCAGUCACCAGUGCCUCCCAUGGAUCCGAGGCUGGCAAGUGGGCAGUGGGGAUUGCCACUCUGUUGGCAUCCACUGCUCACACGACUGGUCCUCCCAGUGAGUGCCUGGUGAAGACAAGGAGCAGGGCUUGGAAGCACGCAGUGCCACUCUCUGCCCGUCUUGAAACACGGACCAAGGAGUCUAUGGAGCUUGCAGGUUGGCUGGUGCCAUCAUGAAAAACCCACACAGUGCAUGGUGAAGGCAACAUGAUCCCCAAAGUGGCUCCUACAGGCCACCGCCAGGGACACCGGUUCCAAUGUCCAAUGGACUGGGUUUCGAGUGCUUGCAAGGUCCAUGGGACCCGAAAGGUGGUGAACUAUACCGUUCCAUGACGAAGCCAUGGGAAACUGUGGUGGAGGUCAGUCGCUGUUCUGACGUGCAAAUUGUGUAGCCUGAGCACGGCAUAGGGGUGAAAGGCCAAUCGAACCACCUAGUAGCUGGUUUCCCUCGAAGUUUCCCUCAGGAUAGCUGGGCUCAGUUGGAGAUCCAUGAUAUGAGUGGUUACAUCCGGUAAAGCAACGCAUGAGAGGCUCCUUUGGGGAGGCUUACCUCCUCAACCUAUUCUCGAACUGUGAAUGGGUGUGGCAAACCCAACAGGCAUGCUUCUUCACUGAUGCUGUGGUCUGGCUGGUCCAGUUCCACUUGGCUUCUGAGCAUGUUCAAUGGUGGCUUUGCUUCCUCUGCCAAGCUGACGUUGGGAAUCACCCACAUGGGUCAGUGAGCCACCCUGUGUCUUGUGGACUGAGGGGACUCUGCCUGUGGUGUCUCUCCCCUCUGUCGCUGGCAAUGCCUAUCAGGUGCUGAGACAAGAUGGCAUGUGGUGUGUGGGGUGUGGGUCACUCCCCUCUGUGGGAGAGUCCUUGCUCCCAUCUCCCAUCCAUCAUGAAGCUGCUGUUAUGGUGAACAGAAUGUGCCUAUGUGGACCAUUAUUGGUAAGCAGUGCUGGUGAUGCGGGAUGCUCCGAGAGUGGACUUACAGAAUCCGAGUGCUGGCUCAUACUCAGAUCCCACAAAGGAUGUUGUAUGAUCUGGAUAGCAGGACGGUGGCCAUGAAGGUUGGAACCCGCUCAGGAAUGUGUAACAACUCACCUGCCGAAUCGUACAGCUCCGAAAAUGGAUGGUGCCCAAGUCAGUGAAGCUACCAUGGUCUCACAGUCCACCAAGGCUGUGGACCCUCUGAGCAGAGCAUCAUUGUGUAGAAAGGACAUGGGAGCCUGCUGAGCAAGCUGGGAGUGAUCCUGGCCAAAGUGACUCCUGGAGCAGAUCUUGGUUGCAGUAGCGAGUACUCCAUCGGGUCAGAAGCAGGUACAACCCUGCUGAGUGUGGUUGAGGACUGGAGUGGAGCAGGUUUCUGUACCAACAGCCGUUGAAUACAGGUCAGCCGAUCGUGAGCCAAGUGGUAAAUCACCAAACAACCAAAGCCACCGUGAGGUCCAACCAGACCAUGCACAACCCCUGGAUGUUGUGUGUGUUGUGGAGCAGGGUGUUGAAGGGAGUGGAUGCUGUGGCACGUGUCUGUCCUGUGGCCAUGGGGACUUGUGGUCUCUGGCAAAGGCAGCAAGUGCACACACACCCUUCCUUCCCCCACAUGCAUGUCUCCCUCACCAUCAACAGGGCGUGUGUGGACUCUGUGGACUCUGCCUGGUGGGAAUGGCAAACAGGCAAGCAUGUGCAACAUUCUGCUGUGAUGGGCUUGGAACAACAGUUGUAUGGGGUGGUGACUCCCAAACUAUGCUAUGAGGUCAGCAGGCUUUGGGGCAGUGCACCCCUCAAGGAGUUCUCGUUUCCUCCUGAUGCAGGCUCAUGUGGGCUAUCGAUUGGCAUGACAGAUGGUGGUGUAUUGCCCUCCGCUCAGCAAGGCAGUGUGUCCCUUUGCACUGGUGGAGUCAGCAAGAAAACCAUCCAUCUCUCUCCUCUCCAACAAGAGGCAUCCUGAUGCUCCCUGUGUGGUCUGAGGGUGUGACGAUGAGACAACCAACCUUGGUGAUCACUGGCUCCACUGAACAGCCUGUGGGACAAUGUGCUCCUGGUCCCUGGUCAUCGUACUGAAUCACCGCAGCCGGUCUCCUCGGUUAGAUGCCGCUGGUCGACGGAUUCAAUGCACCUAAGGGAAGUCGGCAAACUGGCUGUGUACCCUCGGAAGAUACAGUGGCUCCAUAGGCCAAGUCUCUGGGCCUCAUCGCGAGCAGUGUCUUCCGUGGGGGAGAUUGCCUCAAUGGUCUAUGGGCUCUCGGGUCUGUGCCAAUGGGGAUUGAUCACCCCCAUGGAGUGCUGCUUUGUGGUGGGAGCAUGGGACAUGGCUUUGAGCCAACCAUGCUACCCCAGAUUCUAUGAAGUGGCUCACAUGGAACUGUUGCUGUGCAGGGGAAUCUGACUGUUUAAUUGAAACACAGCUUUGUGACGGGACCAGCUGGCUGGUUCCAUGAGGUGACUUCUGCCCAGUGCUCUGAUUGUCAAUGCGAAGAGAUUCAGCCAAGCGCGGGUAAACGGCGGGAGUAACUAUGACUCUCUUAAGGUAGCCAAAUGCCUCGUCAACCAAUUAUUGACGCGCAUGAAUGGAUCAACGAGAUUCCUGCUGUCCCUAGGUGCUGUCCGGUGAACCUACAGCCAAGGGAACGGGCUUGGAAGUGCCAGCGGGGAAAGAAGAGCC
rnacentral:rRNA from 1 species